ensembl:lncRNA
GACAAUUUCUCAGGAGUUCCUGUUGGAUAAAACGGAGAAAGAUGGCCUAUAAGUAAAGAUAAUUAUGUGGAUUGAUAAUAGGCUUAAACAAUUGUAUCCAAAGUAAGAAAUGGAAUAUUUCCUGUUAUAUCAGUAAACAAGGAUGUCACAGUCAUCAGCAAUUGCAGCCACUAUGGAUAGUGAGCCAGUGAGCCCGAGGAAAUUCACCUAGGGAAAGAAUACCUGUCAUCUAGCCAUCAGACUGCACCCCUCCCCACAGUGAGCCCUGAAGAAACUCAGCAGUAGGGAUAUCGCUCCCAAAGAAAAGGCAGCAUGUUCAUGACGUAACAGCAACAUUAACAGAAGGUGAUUAUGUGGAUUCUUUACCAGCUGAGUCACAAGGGAAGCCCAAGGAUACUGGACUGGGUAGCCUAUCCCUUCUCCAGCGGAUCUUUCCAACCCAGGAAUUGAACCAGCAUCUCCUGCAUUGCAGGCAGAUCCUUUACC